AAAUAAAAUUCUUUAUGGUUUAAUAAUUUAUUAUAAAUUUAUUUUACAUAUAAAUUUUAGUGUUAAAUAUUAAUUAUUUAAAUAAUAAUUAUUUAUUUUGUAGUAAUUAAUAUUAAAAUAUUUAAGAAAUUAAGAUUUAGUAAUAUUUAAAUUAAUAACAAAUUUUGUGCCAGCAGUUGCGGUUAAACAAAAAUUAAAUUAAAUUUUAUUAGUAAUUAAUUAAUAAAUAUUUUUAUAAUAAAAAUUUUAAAUUAUUAGGUGAAAUUUUAAUUUAAUUAAAUUUUAUAUUUAAAUUUAUGAUUUAAUAAAUUUUAAAAAAAACUAGGAUUAGAUACCCUAUUAUUAAAAUUUAAAUUUAUAAUACUAAAAUAGUAAUUAAUUAUUUAUUGAAACUUAAAUAAUUUGGCGGUAUUUUAGUUCAUUUAGAGGAAUCUGUUUAAUAAUUGAUAAUCCACGAAUAAAUUUACUUAAUUUAAUAUUUUGUAUAUCGUUGUUAAAAAAAUAUUUUUAAAAAAAAUUAAUAUUUAAAAAUUUUGAAUUAAUUUAAAUCAGAUCAAGAUGCAGAUUAUAAUUAAGAAUAUAAUGGAUUACAAUAAAUUUAUUUAUACCAAUAUUAAUUUGUAACAAUUAAUUGAGGGUGGAUUUAAAUGUAAUUUUAUUUAAUUUAUUAAAAUGAUUAAAAAUUAAAAUAUGUACAUAUUGCCCGUCACUUUCAUAUAAUUAUAAUUUAAUUAUAAUAAAUUGAAAUAAGUCGUAACAAAGUAGAGGUACUGGAAAGUGUUUCUAGAAAGAA
rnacentral:ncRNA from 1 species